rnacentral:lncRNA from 1 species
CGGGGGCGAGCCGGGCCUGCGCGGUAGUGGGACCCGACCCUGUCUCCAGUGGGCGUCUUGGGCCCCGGCUCUAUUCUGGGCUGCGGGCCUGGGAAGGGCUCGCCGGGUGCCAAAUGAGCUGUCCUAACUCUGCGGGGCUGCAGCUUCCUGCAUGAUGCUGGGGAGCUUGGCGCCUGACCCAGGAUCUAGAAGGCACUCUGGGCAGGCCGCGCUCCGCCCACGAAGGUCUGGCUUACCACACGCUCCUCCCCAUUCCCAGUGAGCCGCUUUUUGCAGCACCAGGCGAACACUUACACCAGUGCUUUGUAAAGGAAUCUUAUUGUCCACCCCGUGUCUUGGCAAAAGAACAGUGAUCACACAGAUUCCUACUUGGGCUCUUUCCUUUAAUCUUCGGAGGCUGAGUUUGCCCAACUCAGGUAUGCCGCAGCACACUACAUCA